CUCCCCAGGAGACCCGGUAUCAGUGGCGAGCUGCCUUCUCUCCUCGCCGCUUGCAGGUUUGGCGCCUGGAAAACUCUUCACGUUCUGCUUUCUCCUGCUCCUGGCUCCGCCCCAGCUCCAGCCCCGGCAUUCCUCCAGCUCUACACGUCCUGGCCGCCCCCUUCCCGCUGCCUCUAGAGCGAGCGUACGGGGUCAUCUCCGCGUCUGCCCUGGGCCCAAGGCUGGGCUGCGAAUAGCGUGUUCCUCUCCGGCGGAACACACACACCCGGCCUUGGGGCUGUCUCCUGAGCUCCCUCCUCCACGGAGAGCGCUGAGCGCCGCCGGGAAUUCCAUCCCACCGUGGGCACGCAGUCUUUGGAGGUCCCGGGCGCAGCACGCUCGGUGUCCCCACACUGCAGCAAGACAGAGACCCCGCGGGAACCUUGAGCUUGGAACAACCCUUGAGCCUCUGCAGUCGGAAGAGUGGGCGCAGCAGCCCAGCGGAGGCCAGGCGCGCAACCUCGGGCGCCGGGGCAAGGAGAGAGUGCAGGGAGGCGCAGCUCAGGCGCCCGGCUCAGGAGCGGGAGGAAGUUCUCGCGGCGCCGGGAGCGCGGUGGACGCGCCCUGGGCGCACGCCCAGGCAGCCUUCUCCCUGGCCCUCGGGACUGUCCUCGGGCCGCAAGGAGGAGCUUGCUGGAGUCUUAGAGGCCAUCCAGAGCCAGCGAGCAGGAGCGCUGCGUCUCCCGCCUCAGCUAGGAAGGGGGAGUGGCGCUGGCAGGCUGGAGCUGGGAACCCAGCGAGCGCCUGACCUUCCUCCUCCUCUUCCUGACCCUCUUCGCGUCUUGGGCUCCGGAGGAAGGUUCUAGCGGCUGCAGGAGGUCCCCAGACCCAUUUUCCUAGAAGGCUGGUGAUGGAUCUGCUGCUCCUGCCGCCGCCGGGGCACUUGGAGCGCACCGGCGGCGCGUGAGCUGGGCUUUGCUCUCCACUGCCCUGGGCAAACCCCGGGCCAGCCCCGCCUGGCACCUUUGCCUGAGUCCCUUUCGGUUCCCGACCCAAAGCCACCAGCGUCCAGGGAGGGAGGAGGAGGUGGUCCUCAGGUGCAGCCCCGCCGAGAUGUCCGCGCAGAGCCUGCUCCACAGCGUCUUCUCCUGUUCCUCGCCCGCUUCAAGUAGCGCGGCCUCGGCCAAGGGCUUCUCCAAGAGGAAGCUGCGCCAGACCCGCAGCCUGGACCCGGCCCUGAUCGGCGGCUGCGGGAGCGACGAGGCGGGCGCGGAGGGCAGUGCGCGGGGAGCCACGGCGGGCCGCCUCUACUCCCCAUCACUCCCAGCCGAGAGUCUCGGCCCUCGCUUGGCGUCCUCUUCCCGGGGUCCGCCCCCCAGGGCCACCAGGCUACCGCCUCCUGGACCUCUUUGCUCGUCCUUCUCCACACCCAGCACCCCGCAGGAGAAGUCACCAUCCGGCAGCUUUCACUUUGACUAUGAGGUUCCCCUGGGUCGCGGCGGCCUCAAGAAGAGCAUGGCCUGGGACCUGCCUUCUGUCCUGGCCGGGCCAGCCAGUAGCCGAAGCGCUUCCAGCAUCCUCUGUUCAUCCGGGGGAGGCCCCAAUGGCAUCUUCGCUUCUCCUAGGAGGUGGCUCCAGCAGAGGAAGUUCCAGUCCCCACCCGACAGUCGCGGGCACCCCUACGUCGUGUGGAAAUCCGAGUUGGAGUUGUAUGAUCUUCAGAUCUUAGGCACAAAACCACCGAUGAAUUCCGAUACACAUCGUAACUUUGACCCCACCGCAACCCUUAGAAAUCAGGGUGAUUUCACCUGGAACAGCAUGUCAGGCCGCAGUGUACGGCUGAGGUCAGUCCCCAUCCAGAGUCUCUCAGAGCUGGAGAGGGCCCGGCUGCAGGAAGUGGCUUUUUAUCAGUUGCAACAGGACUGUGACCUGAGCUGUCAGAUCACCAUUCCCAAAGAUGGACAAAAGAGAAAGAAAUCUUUAAGAAAGAAACUGGAUUCACUAGGAAAGGAGAAAAACAAAGACAAAGAAUUCAUCCCACAGGCAUUUGGAAUGCCCUUAUCCCAAGUCAUUGCGAAUGACAGGGCCUAUAAACUCAAGCAGGACUUGCAGAGGGACGAGCAGAAAGAUGCAUCUGACUUUGUGGCUUCCCUCCUCCCAUUUGGAAAUAAAAGACAAAACAAAGAACUCUCAAGCAGUAACUCAUCUCUCAGCUCAACCUCAGAAACACCGAAUGAGUCAACGUCCCCAAACACCCCGGAACCGGCUCCUCGGGCUAGGAGGAGGGGUGCCAUGUCAGUGGAUUCUAUCACCGAUCUUGAUGACAAUCAGUCUCGACUACUAGAAGCUUUACAACUUUCCUUGCCUGCUGAGGCUCAAAGUAAAAAGGAAAAAGCCAGAGAUAAGAAACUCAGUCUGAAUCCUAUUUACAGACAGGUCCCUAGGCUGGUGGACAGCUGCUGUCAGCACCUAGAAAAACAUGGCCUCCAGACAGUGGGGAUAUUCCGAGUUGGAAGCUCAAAAAAGAGAGUGAGACAAUUACGUGAGGAAUUUGACCGUGGGAUUGAUGUCUCUCUGGAGGAGGAGCACAGUGUUCAUGAUGUGGCAGCCUUGCUGAAAGAGUUCCUGAGGGACAUGCCAGACCCCCUUCUCACCAGGGAGCUGUACACAGCUUUCAUCAACACUCUCUUGUUGGAGCCGGAGGAACAGCUGGGCACCUUGCAGCUCCUCAUAUACCUUCUACCUCCCUGCAACUGCGACACCCUCCACCGCCUGCUACAGUUCCUCUCCAUCGUGGCCAGGCAUGCCGAUGACAACAUCAGCAAAGAUGGGCAAGAGGUCACUGGGAAUAAAAUGACAUCUCUAAACUUAGCCACCAUAUUUGGACCCAACCUGCUGCACAAGCAGAAGUCAUCAGACAAAGAAUUCUCAGUUCAGAGUUCAGCCCGGGCUGAGGAGAGCACGGCCAUCAUCGCUGUUGUGCAAAAGAUGAUUGAAAAUUAUGAAGCCCUGUUCAUGGUUCCCCCAGAUCUCCAGAACGAAGUGCUGAUCAGCCUGUUAGAGACCGAUCCUGAUGUCGUGGACUAUUUACUCAGAAGAAAGGCUUCCCAAUCAUCAACAAGUUCUGUGCUUCCGGCUGCAGUGCAGGCCUGCCCACAGUACCCUGCCAGCAUGUUUACGCCCUGACCUGGAGGGACCAGCUAAGGAAGCCCUGACAUGCUGCAGUCGGAAGUUUCCUUUUCCGUGGGAGGGAGGCAUUCAUCUACAGACUCCAACAAGGCCUCCAGCGGAGACAUCUCCCCUUAUGACAACAACUCCCCAGUGCUGUCUGAGCGCUCCCUGCUGGCUAUGCAAGAGGACGCGGCCCCGGGGGGCUCGGAGAAGCUUUACAGAGUGCCAGGGCAGUUUAUGCUGGUGGGCCACUUGUCGUCGUCAAAGUCAAGGGAAAGUUCUCCUGGACCAAGGCUUGGGAAAGAUCUGUCAGAGGAGCCUUUCGAUAUCUGGGGAACUUGGCAUUCAACAUUAAAAAGCGGAUCCAAAGACCCAGGAAUGACAGGUUCCUCUGGAGACAUUUUUGAAAGCAGCUCCCUAAGAGCGGGGCCCUGCUCCCUUUCUCAAGGGAACCUGUCCCCAAAUUGGCCUCGGUGGCAGGGGAGCCCCGCAGAGCUGGACAGCGACACGCAGGGGGCUCGGAGGACUCAGGCCGCAGCCCCCGCGACGGAGGGCAGGGCCCACCCUGCGGUGUCGCGCGCCUGCAGCACGCCCCACGUCCAGGUGGCAGGGAAAGCCGAGCGGCCCACGGCCAGGUCGGAGCAGUACUUGACCCUGAGCGGCGCCCACGACCUCAGCGAGAGUGAGCUGGAUGUGGCCGGGCUGCAGAGCCGGGCCACACCUCAGUGCCAAAGACCCCAUGGGAGUGGGAGGGAUGACAAGCGGCCCCCGCCUCCAUACCCGGGCCCAGGGAAGCCCGCGGCAGCGGCAGCCUGGAUCCAGGGGCCCCCGGAAGGCGUGGAGACACCCACGGACCAGGGAGGCCAAGCAGCCGAGCGAGAGCAGCAGGUCACGCAGAAAAAACUGAGCAGCGCCAACUCCCUGCCAGCGGGCGAGCAGGACAGUCCGCGCCUGGGGGACGCUGGCUGGCUCGACUGGCAGAGAGAGCGCUGGCAGAUCUGGGAGCUCCUGUCGACCGACAACCCCGAUGCCCUGCCCGAGACGCUGGUCUGAGCCCGCACCCAGCCGAGCCCCCCCUGCCCCGAGCCCCCCGCCCUCCAGCCCAGGGGGGACCGUGGGUGGUGGCCACUGGCACACUUAGUGUUCUUCUUUCACACUUCUCAAAAGUGACACAAGAGAAAUCCAGUUCACCUACAGAGGUAGAGCACUCACGCCCCCGCCAUUGAGAAUAAGGUUCCAUUGCGUAGCCAGCCUUAGGAAAAACAAACAGAACCCAAACCAGAUGGCAAUGUCCAAUCUAAAAACGUCCCUCUUGGCUCUAUAAUAUAAGAUACAACUCUUGCUUGGUAUAGCCUAACCGUAUUUAUGUGUCUUCGGUUUUGACUAUUGUGUAUUCUGUAACAGAUUAUGUAUAAUCAUAUAUGAUAUAUUCACAAAGAGAAAACAAAAGGAACUUUUAAAAAAAAAAUCACUUCACUUAUAUUAAGCAAUGAGAUAUACUAAACAAUGAGAUUCUAUAGAAUGUUCUAGAAUGUGCACAAGCGGGUUUCUGUGCUUUUGCCAUAGCUUUAUAACUGGGGAUAACCCUUCCUUCGAUACCAAACACUAACAAGAGGAAGCAGAAUAUGAGAAGCCAUAUUUUUACAUAGGAGUCAGAUACAAAAAGAAAAAUCACUGAAUGCUUUUAGAUAUUGAAUACGUUUUCAGGAAAAUGCUAAAUCUGAUAGAUUACGAAAUAUAUUUUUAGAACUUGUUUAGAAAGGAUUCAGUUAACCAAACAAGAAAAAGGCAGUGCCUCACAAAGAAAUUAAGAAGUUGUCCGUCCCACGUUACAUCAAAUUCAGUUUUAUAUAGGCCAUAUAUAAUAUAUAUUUAUAAUGUAUAAUUUUUAUGUAUUUUUCAAAACUACAAACUGGAAUCCAACUAUAAAGUGUUUAAGAAUCUACACAGAAUAUUCAAAUUAUAGAACAUGUUUUUUCCCUUUGCCCCAUAAUCAGUAUUUGCCAAAUUACAUGCAAUUCCUUAAAAACUAAAUCACAUUUGGUAAAAGGCCUACAGCUUUGUACUUACAUUGUGCCAAAGGCUGAGGAAAUGUUUUCUUUCGUAAUUUUAUGUGUAUUGUAAAAUGUUCUACCGUACUUUAGUAGUUUGAAGUUUUUCAAGUGCAUAACUAUUUUUGACCAGCAGAUGGCGAUACGCUUCAGUAUUUUAUGCAAUUUUUUUUCACUUCUGAAGGGAAAGUGUAUUAUAAAAAAAGAUUUUUUUUUUUUUUAUAAAACAUGCUACUCUUAAUUUUCAUGUUGGUGAUGAAAUUCCCAGUGGUGUUUCUUAAGGUUCUAUCUUGUGCCAUGAUGAAUAAAAAGUUAAGCAAA